CGGGAAUUUUGGGCAAUGGGCGAAAGCCUGACCCAGCAACGCCGCGUGAAGGAUGAAAUCCCUCGGGAUGUAAACUUCGCAGGAAUGGGAAGAAUAAGUAGAGGCGAAUACCCUUUAUGAUGACGGUACCAUUUGUAAGCUCCGGCUAACUCCGUGCCAGCAGCCGCGGUAAUACGGGGGGAGCAAGCGUUGUUCGGAUUUACUGGGCGUAAAGGGCGCGUAGGCGGCGUGACUAGUCACUUGUGAAAUCUCCGGGCUUAACUCGGAACGGUCAAGUGAUACUGUCGUGCUAGAGUACAGAAGGGGCAACUGGAAUUCUCGGUGUAGCGGUGAAAUGCGUAGAUAUCGAGAGGAACACCUGCGGCGAAGGCGGGUUGCUGGGCUGAUACUGACGCUGAUGCGCGAAAGCCAGGGGAGCGAAC
rnacentral:rRNA from 1 species